rnacentral:rRNA from 1 species
GAUGAACGCUGGCGGCGUGCUUAACACAUGCAAGUCGAACGGAAAGGCUCCUGCUUGCAGGGGUACUCGAGUGGCGAACGGGUGAGUAACACGUGGGUGAUCUGCUCCGCACUUCGGGAUAAGCCUGGGAAACUGGGUCUAAUACCGGAUAGGACAGUGGAUUGGAUGCUAUUGUGGAAAGUUUUUUCGGUGUGGGAUUAGCUCGCGGCCUAUCAGCUUGUUGGUGGGGUAAUGGCCUACCAAGGCGUCGACGGGUAGCCGGCCUGAGAGAGUGUACGGCCACAUUGGGACUGAGAUACGGCCCAGACUCCGACGGGAGGAAGCAGUGGGGAAGAUUGCACAAGGGGCGCAAGCCGGAUGCAGCGAGGCUGCGGGGGGGAUGACGGCCUUCGGGUUGUAAACUCGUUUCGCUAGGGACGAAGCGUUAUGUGACGGUACCUAGAGAAGAAGCACCGGCUAACUACGUG